GUUGGACCAGAUGGCCUUCAAAGGGCCCUUCCAACUCUAAGGAUUAGAUGAUUCUAUAUGAAUGUUUGAGUAAAUGCGUGAAUACAUGCAGCUGUAACAUAAAGCAUGAAACAAAUGCCUAAGAAAUGUCACUUAUUGGCCUUUGCAUUAAAAUGAUGGUAUGAAACGGAAGGUUUUUCUUCAGGUUAUUAACUGAAACACCAGCUAAAAAGAAAGGAUCAAACUCUGUUCCCCUCAACACCUCUCUGAAGGAGCGUCUGAAAAAGAGUGGUGCCACAUUUGUGUUUCAAGCUCAGAGCCUUCCUACUUGGUAAAAGAUUUCAGAACCCUCCUGCAAGAUUUCCAGGUUAGGGCAAGGAAGAGCAUUUGAUCACAACACAUCCAACCUUCCUUCUUUUCUUUCCUAGGAUGAUAUGCAACAGCUGGAGGAGUGCAGCCAGCAGCCCACCAGCUCCAAAUGUGGGACUGUGUGAGGGCUCUCGUGCACAGUGAAUACUGACUGUGAAGUGCUGUGCAGCCAACAGGAAUUACUACAGAAAAGAACAAGCACGGACAACUGGGGUGUUAUCUAGAAUGAAACAGUGACAACUCCAAAAGCCCUUCAUGAGUGGUGGAUGGGAACAAAGGAACAAAUGGAAUGAAUGAGUGUUACAGGAAGGCAAGCGUAUUGAAAGCCAAGGAUCUUGGCUGUUGACUUGUGCCUAAAUUUACCUUCAGAUAAUGAAUUGUAGCAAGAGGUUUGGAUAUUUGACAUACCAUCAAACUCAUAUAAAUGAGGCAGCAACCACUCAGAAUGAACAGCAGCAACAUCAUCCAUUCUGGAGAUCUGCAAAGCUGAGGUGCUGACAGCAACUUGGGAGAGCCCCACACGUACCUGCCCCUGUGCCAAGCAUGUCACAUGCCUUGGUUCUCCUGACAAGGUUAAUCCACAGCCAAAGGACCUUCUCAGGGAUGAGAGUCGGAAAGACGGAUGGGAUUAAAAACUUGAACAAAGCAGAAACAUGCACACAAACUGUAUUGUCCAGGACACCUCUGAGCUGUUCUCAACAGGGAACUGCCACUCUAUUCCAGGAUUCUCUCAGCAGCACAUCAUACUUCCCUAUUUUUCCUUGACUCCCUUGGCUUAUUGAUUUAUAUAAAAAUUGUAUCAAGAAAUACAGGCAAUAUAUUAUAAAUACAUAUAGUGGGGAGGAUUGGGCCAGUGGUCACCCCACUACCCAGGAUUUGAAUGGAGCUUUCAGCUGGCAGGGAUCUGCAGGAGGGUUAAUGGACUUCACUGGGACAAACUCAUUAACAAGACACUGUUCUACAUCCCAGGUGAGAUGCAGCACCCACCUGGCUGUGCAACACCCUCCUGCCAACUCACACAAGGACCGCAUCUGCCUCUCAUUUAUCCAGAAAGCCUAAUAACAGCAAUAAUCCCUCUGGGGAUUAUUUCAGCAGAAAUGGCUACAGUGAAAGCAAAGGCUCACAGAGGACACGAUUCACCGUCACCAGAGUGGAGACAGUAGAACACAUUUGCAUGGCUCUACAAGCAGCAGUGCCUCUGUGACUCUACAGCUCUCCCCCUUCAUCCAAAGGGACUGCAGACAACAAAGAAAGUGCAAUUUUAAAACUUAUUUACGUGCCAAGAGAAAUACAAAUUGCAUGUGUCACCUUCACAAGCCAUUAUGAAAACCUUCCCACCCAGCUGACUUGUGUGCUGGCAAUUACAUAGGGCCAACAGUGAG
ensembl:lncRNA